AGGGUUUGAUCCUGGCUCAGAGUGAACGCUGGCGGCGUGGAUUAGGCAUGCAAGUCGAGCGAUCCUUUUUAUUGAAGGAGAUUGAAGCCUUCGGGCUGAUGUCUUCGGAUAUAAUGUGGAUAGCGGCAAACGGGUGAGUAAUACGUGGGCAACGUACCCUGGGGAGGAGAAUAGCUUCGAGAAAUCGGAGGUAAUACUCCAUACUCCCUUUUUUUCUGGAAUGGAGAAAGGGCAAAGAUGGCGGAAGACUUCGGUCUGCUAUCGCCCAAGGAGCGGCUCAUGGCCUAUCAGGUUGUUGGUAGGGUAACGGCCUACCAAGCCAUAGACGGGUAGCUGGCCUGAGAGGGUGGUCAGCCACAUCGGGACUGAGACACUGCCCGGACUCCUACGGGAGGCUGCAGUCGAGAAUCUUUCCCAAUGAGCGAAAGCUUGAGGAUGCGACGCCGCGUGAGGGAUGAAGGCUUUCGGGUUGUAAACCUCUUUUAUCGGGGAGGAAGACCCUUCCUUUAAAUAAGGGGAAGGAGUGACUUUACUCGAUGAAUAAGUCACGGCUAACUCCGUGCCAGCAGCCGCGGUAAUACGGAGGUGGCAAGCGUUACUCGGUUUGACUGGGUGUAAAGGGUCCGCAGGCGGCCUAAUAAGUGAAAGGUGAAAUCUCUCGGCUUAACCGAGAAACUGCUUUUCAAACUGUUAGGCUUGAGGCUGGAAGAGGAGAGCGGAACUGCCAGUGUAAGGGUGAAAUCUGUGGAUAUUGGCAGGAACGUCCGUGGGGAAGCCGGCUCUCUGGUUCAGAUCUGACGCUGAGGGACGAAAGCUAGGGGAGCAAACAGGAUUAGAUACCCUGGUAGUCCUAGCUGUAAACGAUGGGCACUAGGUGUUUGUCCGCAAGGAUGAGUGCCGCAGGUAACCCGAUAAGUGCCCCACCUGGGAACUACGGCCGCAAGGCUAAAACUCAAAGGAAUUGACGGGGGCCCGCACAAGCGGUGGAACACGUGGUUUAAUUCGAUGCUACGCGAGAAACCUUAUCCAGGGCUUGACAUGCAGGAAGUAGUAUCUCGAAAGAGAGUCCGACCGGUAUCCAAUCCGGAACCUGCACAGGUGCUGCAUGGCUGUCGUCAGCUCGUGCCGUGAGGUGUUCCCUUAAGUGGGAGAACGAGCGCAACCCUCGCCCUUUGUUGCUACCCAUUCUUUUAGAAUGGCGCACUCUAAGGGGACUGCCCGCGUUAAGUGGGAGGAAGGUGGGGACGACGUCAAGUCCGCAUGGCCUUUAUGCCCUGGGCUACACACGUGUUACAAUGCCUGCUACAAAGGGCGGCCAAACCGCAAGGUGGAGCAAAUCUCAAAAAAGCAGGCUCAGUUCGGAUCGAGGUCUGCAACUCGACCUCGUGAAGCUGGAAUCGCUAGUAAUGGCGCAUCAUCACGGCGCCGUGAAUACGUUCCCGGGCCUUGUACACACCGCCCGUCAAGCGCUGAAAGUGGGGGGCACCCGAAGCCCCGAUUCGUCGGGAUCACGGUGAAUUUCAUGAUUGGCGCUAAGUCGUAACAAGGUA
rnacentral:rRNA from 1 species